AGUGAACGCUGGCGGUAGGCCUAACACAUGCAAGUCGAACGGCAGCACAGUAAGAGCUUGCUCUUACGGGUGGCGAGUGGCGGACGGGUGAGGAAUAAACCGGAAUCUACUUUUUCGUGGGGGUUAACGUCGGGAAACUUACGCUAAUACCGCAUACGACCUACGGGUGAAAGCUGGGGAUCUUCGGACCUUGCGCGAUUGCAUGAGCCGAUGUCGGAUUAGCUAGUUGGCGGGGUAAAGGCCCACCAAGGCGACGAUCCGUAGCUGGGCUGAGAGGAUGAUCAGCCACACUGGAACUGAGACACGGUCCAGACUCCUACGGGAGGCAGCAGUGGGGAAGAUUGGACGAUGGGCGGAAGACUGAUCCAGCCAUACCGCGUGGGUGAAGAAGGCCUGCGGGUUGUAAAGCCGUUUUGUUGGGAAAGAAAAGCAGCAGGUUAAAACCCCGCUGUUCUGACGGUACCGAAAGAAUAAGCACCGGCUAACUUCGU
rnacentral:rRNA from 1 species